GCUCGCCGGAUGGGGGGUGGUUCUUGCCAGGGAAGUUCAUAACACCAUACCAAAAGAAUAUCAUACCGGGCUUAAAUGAAUAUGGAAAAAAGUUUGACGCCUAAAUAAGUCCAUACAAAAGAGAAAAAGGGGAUAAUGACCAAAAAACACACACGUUUACUCACGAAACGAAUGGACAGGUUAUCUACACGGCACCGGAUUAUACGUGGCUUGGCGGCUGACAUUCCAAGCGUCUAGCCCUCCCACAGAAACCACGAUCGGGCUUCACCAUGAUACCUACUUCAUGCGCUAGGCAUCUCAACAUCGAGACACCGCAACCGGCCUAUGCUACCUAGCUUGAGCUCAACCUAUGUCGCCUUGGGCACCCUUUCUAUGUUACGCUGAAAGACCACUGAAAUCAAAAAGGAAGUCUAUCGGUCGUUCGUCUGUCCAAGGUUGUGUGUAAAUUAUCUGUCCGCAUAGGGUUUUUUUACAUGGGCGGUCGGUGUGAUCAUACCGGUUUUCUGCGCCUCCCCCAAUGACUAGAGCGGUGAUGGUAACUGGACGUGCUGGAUAACCGAUCGCGUGCUUCGGUUUUUUAAUUUUGUUUAUAUUUUGUAAGACUUUAGUUCCUGUAAAACUUUAGUUGCUUAUUUUUUUUCUUUCCUUUUAAAUAUUGGAUUGCCCAAAAAGUAUUUGCGGAUGUUUUAAAAGAAAGUAAAUGCAUUUUUAAUAAAACUUAGAAUGAACUUUAAUCAAAUACACUUUUUUUGCACUUACAGUCACAAGCUGUGAAAAAAUUUGUCAACGCCGACUAUAUGAAAAAUCCGCAAUUACUUUUUGGGCAACCCAAUAGUUUGUAACGAUCAAAUCUUUUCUUUAGCUUGUAAGACUUUAGUUUAUCUUUAGUUUUAAUUUGUUUAUAGUUUGCGCUCACAAUAGUAUUGAAAUGCCACAGGUUGUUUCUUUUGCAGAUUUCUAGUUUGUACGACUGCCACAUUCACAAGUGUUUUUUUUCUUCGACCCUUAGGUCACACUUUCACCAAUUUGAGAUUUAAUGUACAACAAAAUUCGAUAAAAUAAAAUAUGUAGCGGAUGCAUUUUUAUAAGUUAAAUAUAUUAAAAUUACUUUACUCAUUUUAAGUUUAUUUCAAUUAUUUGAUGGAAAGAUUCUAGUUUAAAUUAUUUAGCGAACAUGAACUAACUAUUAUUUUCGAGUGUACGAAUGAAUAUUAUUGUUUCUAUGAGUUAAAUGUUACAGUAAAGUAUAAGAGAUUCAAUUAUUUUGAGAGUUAAUGUUUUGUUCUUUUGAUCUCAGCAAUGAGUGUAUUUUUUUAUCUCUUGUUUUCUCGCACAAUCUUUUGUAUAACUUUAAUAUAUAGAGAGAAGCUUAAACACAUACGACUCUACUCUCAACCAAUAUGUCUGUUGAGUGAUUGUUUUGCUUGUCUCUUUUCGCUUGUAAUAUUGUUUUUGGGAUUAUUUAGUUAUUACUCAAUAUUUUCGAAUUCUUGUUUGUCAUCGCUUACUUUCAAUUCAAGGUUAUUUUCUAAUUGCCUAUACAAGAAGAUGCACAAACCAGAAAUUGGUAUUCUUGGAGUUGCAGCCACCAAUAAAGGUUGAAAAUAAAACAA